rnacentral:misc_RNA from 1 species
UACGAGCUGCCUUCAAGAACAACAUAUCUCUCAGUGACGUUGUACAGUGAAGUUAAGACAGAAGAACUACUAUCUGUAACUUAGUAACAUGGAGAAGAAGCCACUCGAUUUGAAUGAGUUAAGCGAGAAAUUUGCAGCUGGUGAAUUUAAAGAUUCGUCAACAUCUGAAAUUACGGAGGAAAUAUUACAGAAAUGUGGCGGAUAUGGUCUAUUUCAAAAGAUACUCACUAUUUUUGUUUUGAUAUUUGUAAUAUUUCACGCCACAUCAACUUUAACGAUGGUGUUUAUACGAGAGAAGGUUCCUUUUUCUUGUUAUCCUUCGAAUUUCAACGAAUCCAUGAUUCCACCAAAUAUCUCCUUGGAUGAAUUCCUAAAUGACGUAACUGUCAAAGAGGAGAAAUGCUCUGUGUAUAACCUUGACAUAGAAAAUGGAUUUUAUAUUCUUCCAAACAGCAAUUCCACAAAGGAACCGUGUAAUAACGGUCAAAAGUUUUACACUAAAGAUUUGUCAUCUAUUGUAUCUGAGUUUGAUUUGGUUUGUGAAAAAGAAUGGUUGAAAAACUUUGCAGUGUCUGUAAUGUUCGGAGGAUAUCUUAUUGGAAACUUAAUAUUUGGGAUAUCUUCAGACAAAUUUGGCCGAUUCAAGAUGCUCUGUGCUGCGGAUAUUCUUUUCAUAUGUAGCUGUUUUGCCAGAAUACACUCACCAAAUUAUGGCGUGUUCAUCAUUUUGUAUUUCCUUGAAGGAUUCGGAUAUGCAGGUUGUUAUAUAAACAUAUACACUAUCUUGCUAGAAUGUGUCUCUCAGAAUUACAGAAUGCAUUUGAAUUUUGCUGUUCAUGGAGCAUUCGCUCUCGGAGAAACACUUCUCGCUGGUGUAGCAUUUUUACUUCGUAAAUGGCAACACCUAUUGUAUGCUGUAACUAUUCCGCAUAUUCUGGUUCUCAUUGUAGCAGUGAAAUAUCUUCCUGAAUCUCCUAGAUGGCUUCUUAUUCAAGGGAAAUAUGCAGAAGCUGAAAAAUCCUUUAACAGGAUAGCAAGAACAAAUAAAAAACACAAUGAGAAUGUGGGAAAACUUAUAUGGAAACUUCAAAGAGAAACGGAACGGAAAUCCAAAUUUGAGGAUGAAGUUGAAGGAAAUACGAAUCUUGAAAAUACAACCCACACAGCAAUUGAUCUAUUAAAAACGCCUCGAAGAGCGAUGAUUACAACGAAUAUUUGGUUUAAUUGGUUGGUCAACAGUAUGCUUUACUACGGAGUUACACUAAAUUCUGUUGAUAUGUCUGGCAAUCGGUAUAUAAAUUUCUUCAUGAUGUCAGCAGUAGAAAUUCCAUCCAACAUUCUUGGAUGUAUAACCUUUAAAUGGUUUGGGCAUCGUAAGCCGCUUUGUUUCUUCAUGGUAUUUGGUGGAAUUAACUGUAUUGUUUCAAACUUUGUGCCAACAGGUAACAUUUGUCAUGGCGUCUCAAGUUCAUCCUAAUACACAUAAUCGGCCGAGAAAUCAAAGUGGUCCUGCAAAUUGGGAAUAUAUGUAACUUUUGGUUUCCUCUGCUAUUAGCUGUUCUGGGGAAGUUCGGUACGACACUAUCCUUUGACGGAGUUUAUCUGACAUCAG